AGCGGUAAAAGCUCAAAUUUGAAAUCUGGUACUUUCAGUGCCCGAGUUGUAAUUUGUAGAAUUUGUCUUUGAUUAGGUCCUUGUCUAUGUUCCUUGGAACAGGACGUCAUAGAGGGUGAGAAUCCCGUUUGGCGAGGAUACCUUUUCUCUGUAAGACUUUUUCGAAGAGUCGAGUUGUUUGGGAAUGCAGCUCAAAGUGGGUGGUAAAUUCCAUCUAAAGCUAAAUAUUGGCGAGAGACCGAUAGCGAACAAGUACAGUGAUGGAAAGAUGAAAAGAACUUUGAAAAGAGAGUGAAAAAGUACGUGAAAUUGUUGAAAGGGAAGGGCAUUUGAUCAGACAUGGUGUUUUUUGCAUGCACUCGCCUCUCGUGGGCUUGGGCCUCUCAAAAAUUUCACUGGGCCAACAUCAAUUCUGGCAGCAGGAUAAAUCAUUAAGAAUGUAGCUACUUCGGUAGUGUUAUAGCUUUUUGGAAUACUGUUAGCCGGGAUUGAGGACUGCGCUUCGGCAAGG
rnacentral:rRNA from 1 species